rnacentral:rRNA from 1 species
UACGUAGGGGGCAAGCGUUGUCCGGAAUUAUUGGGCGUAAAGAGCGCGUAGGCGGUCCGAUAAGUCGGCUGUGAAAGUCAGGGGCUCAACCCUUGAAAGCCGGCCGAUACUGUCGGACUAGAGUCCGGAAGAGGCAAGUGGAAUUCCCGGUGUAGCGGUGAAAUGCGCAGAUAUCGGGAGGAACACCAAUGGCGAAGGCAGCUUGCUGGGACGGUACUGACGCUGAGGCGUGAAAGCGUGGGGAGCAAACAGG